rnacentral:lncRNA from 1 species
ACCUCUGCUUGAUCAUUUCCGCAGCAUGCAAUCUUGCUUCUAGCAUGUUGGAGGAACAGACGGAGCUUUAGCUAGUAGUAAAGAAUCAAGACCCAGGAUCAGAAUCUAGACUAACUCCAUAUGCCAGGACAGCACAGCCACAUGACCACCAUUAUAAAAGAAGAAACUAGUAUUUGUAUUACCAAACACAGUCAGAAUUUUGUGCAGAUAAACUUUCAAUUCUUGAAAGCAUCUCCUCCCAGAGGCGGCAUCUUCUGAAGUUUAGAGAUACAGAGUAGGACACCAUGUUGCAUCUCGACUGUGAGGAUGCCGAGAUUCCAGUAGAGGACCACGUUGUCCAUCUGCCAGCAGCCCGGCAUCGACAACACCGCAUCGGUGAGGACGUGAUCGUCGAGAGCGUAGCAGUGGAGCUUGAACAAGACCUGGUCACGCCAGCGAGAGUACUGCUGGGACGAGUCAAGAUGAGGACGACGGAGGCGAGGCCCCGGAUGCGUCGGGUGUGGGAAGGGCGGCGGCGUUGUCGUGCGCGGAGUGGGAGCCAUCGCCUGGGACUCCGCCGAACGAGUCAAGUUUUCUCUCCUCCCACUAGUCGUCGCCCUCCCCAGGAUAUGCCUUUCUCCUCCAGGAACCUGAUGACGCGGCUUCCCCUAUCCGUGGCGCGGGCAAGACCUUCCCUGCCACCCCUGUUCUCGUCGGUGCCCAGGAGGCCACUGUCACCCUGCACGGCGCGGGCAUGGACCUGUUCCCCUCGCCGGCGCUGUCUCCUUCAGCACAUGCACGGCCGGGCUCGGAUCCCUUCUCCCCAGCGCCGCCUCCCUACACGACGCGGGCGCGGCCCCCUUCUCAC